rnacentral:lncRNA from 1 species
AAAUAUGACCCGAGUAUUUUUUUUUAUUUUUUAUUUUUUUCAGAUUACUAGCAGUUCAGCGGGGAUAUUAUAAUUUCCUUCUAUACAUAACGGUGGAAAGAGAUCCUGUGUGAUUUCCACAAGCAGGAAGAGGCACUGCCUUCUCUUUUUCCCUCCUUCCUAGAACCUGUUUUUGCUGCUCUGUAUCCCAGGCAGUCAAGACGUAUUUUUUAGCAAAGUAACCCCGUUUUUGUCAUAAAACUUCACUGUAUACAGCAGGAACUCUUGUUUUAAAACACCUGAAAUGAAGACCCUGGAGAGGAUGGAAUGACUAAAUGACACAAAAAAUUUGCACUUUACUCAAGACAGUGGGAAAAGUGUGAGCUCUCUGUCUGUUACAAGGGACCGUGGGAGAGGACUGAGUGCAGAGGAGCUUUGCGAUGUCAAGUCUCCAGAUGGUUUCUGUCAAAGAGCUGGUAAUGCCUGUUCCUGAAGGGUUGUGGUUCGGCUUGGGGCAUUGAACAGCAUCUCGAGAGGACAAAUUAAGGAAGAGGCUGCUCUGAGGUUGUACCAGACCUGGAAAGUAAUUAUGCACCAGCUUCUUGGAAAGGAGAUGUAAUACCAGGUGGGAAGUAAGGUUAAAACUUAAUGUUAAAAUUAACAAACAGUUACUAUGUUAAAGUAUUUUUAAGAAAAUGUUUAGGGAGAA